UUGUCCUUAGUUACCAGCACGGUUAUGGUGGGCACUCUAAGGAGACUGCCGGUGACAAACCCGGAGGAAGGUGGGGAUGACGUCAAGUCAUCAUGGCCCUUACGGCCUGGGCUACACACGUGCUACAAUGGUCGGUACAAAGGGUUGCCAAGCCGCGAGGUGGAGCUAAUCCCAUAAAACCGAUCGUAGUCCGGAUCGCAGUCUGCAACUCGACUGCGUGAAGUCGGAAUCGCUAGUAAUCGUGAAUCAGAAUGUCACGGUGAAUACGUUCCCGGGCCUU
rnacentral:rRNA from 1 species